GAUUAUGGCUCAGGAUGAACGCUAGCUACAGGCUUAACACAUGCAAGUCGAGGGGAAACGACAUCGAAAGCUUGCUUUUGAUGGGCGUCGACCGGCGCACGGGUGAGUAACGCGUAUCCAACCUGCCCACCACUUGGGGAUAACCUUGCGAAAGUAAGACUAAUACCCAAUGAUAUCUCUAGAAGACAUCUGAAAGAGAUUAAAGAUUUAUCGGUGAUGGAUGGGGAUGCGUCCGAUUAGCUUGUUGGCGGGGUAACGGUCCACCAAGGCUACGAUCAGUAGGGGUUCCGAGAGGAAGGUCCCCCACAUUGGAACUGAGACACGGUCCAAACUCCUACGGGAGGCAGCAGUGAGGAAUAUUGGUCAAUGGACGAGAGUCUGAACCAGCCAAGUAGCGUGCAGGAUGACGGCCCUAUGGGUUGUAAACUGCUUUUAUAAGGGAAUAAAGUGAGUCUCGUGAGACUUUUUGCACGUACCUUAUGAAUAAGGACCGGCUAAUUCCGUGCCAGCAGCCGCGGUAAUACGGAGGGUUCGGGCGUUAUCCGGAUUUAUUGGGUUUAAAGGGAGCGUAGGCCGGAGAUUAAGCGUGUUGUGAAAUGUAGAUGCUCAACAUCUGCACUGCAGCGCGAACUGGUUUCCUUGAGUACGCACAAAGUGGGCGGAAUUCGUGGUGCAGCGGUGAAAUGCUUAGAUAUCACGAAGAACUCCGAUUGCGAAGGCAGCUCACUGGAGCGCAACUGACGCUGAAGCUCGAAAGUGCGGGUAUCGAACAGGAUUAGAUACCCUGGUAGUCCGCACGGUAAACGAUGGAUGCCCGCUGUCGGUCUGAAUAGGUCAGCGGCCAAGCGAAAGCAUUAAGCAUCCCACCUGGGGAGUACGCCGGCAACGGUGCAAAGUCAAAGGAAUUGACGGA
rnacentral:rRNA from 1 species